AACGAACGCUGGCGGCAGGCCUAACACAUGCAAGUCGAGCGAGCAUUUCGGUGCUAGCGGCGGACGGGUGAGUAACGCGUGGGAACGUGCCCUUUUCUGCGGAAUAGUCCUGGGAAACUGGGGGUAAUACCGCAUACGCCCUUUUGGGGAAAGAUUUAUCGGAGAAGGUUCGGCCCGCGUUGGAUUAGGUAGUUGGUGGGGUAAUGGCCCACCAAGCCGACGAUCCAUAGCUGGUUUGAGAGGAUGAUCAGCCACACUGGGACUGAGACACGGCCCAGACUCCUACGGGAGGCAGCAGUGGGGAAUCUUAGACAAUGGGGGCAACCCUGAUCUAGCCAUGCCGCGUGAGUGAUGAAGGCCUUAGGGUUGUAAAGCUCUUUCAGCUGGGAAGAUAAUGACGGUACCAGCAGAAGAAGCCCCGGCUAACUCCGUG
rnacentral:rRNA from 1 species